GGGGGGAUGGCGCAGUGGUAAAGCGCCUAGUAUUCCUUUAUAGUAGAGGUCGAAGGUUCGAAUCCUUCUCCUCUCA
rnacentral:tRNA from 1 species